UACGGAGGGUGGCAAGCGUUAUCCGGAUUUACUGGGUUUAAAGGGUGGUGUAGGCGGGCUUUUAAGUCAGUGGUGAAAUCUCCGGGCUCGAACCUGGAAACCUGGCCAUUGAUACUAUUAGUCUUGAAUUUUGUUGAGGUAGGCGGAAUAAGUCAUGUAGCGGUGAAAUGCAUAGAUAUGACUUAGAACACCAAUUGCGAAGGCAGCUUGCUAAACAAAUAUUGACGCUGAG
rnacentral:rRNA from 1 species